GAAAAAACAUCUGAUGUUUCAGUUUCAUACAUCUACUUAUCAGGGAACUUCAUUGUUCAAAUGAUUCGAUCUAACAUCACAUACAUAGUUAACAAAGUACUUCCUUUCGUUUCAUACCGAGUUCCACAAGCAUAGUUAAGAGAGCCUCACACAUUUCACUAGCGUCCGGUUCAUUUGGGUCCUUCCUCCACGACGAAUAAACCAUCCAAGCAUGAUCAAGCUUUAUGUCUGGUUUUACAACAACUGAGCCAGGAACUUCAGCAUCACGACAGGUCACUAGACCAUCACUCUUCUCUCCAUACCUUAGUUGCAGGUGCAGAGCACAAAGAGCCAGUGCAGCAGAAACAGGAACUAUGACAGGCACCUUACAACCUGCUUGGAUCACAUUUUCCGACUCAUCGUCACCAAAUCCGGGCAAAGGUAGCCACGGAAGUUCUGCAUGUGCUAUAUGGGACAUUGUUGCUAUUACAUUCAGUGCUAUACUUGCUUCAGAAUGGAAGGAGAUGAGUGGAAUAUCAUCGGGAAGCUUGUGGUUUUUUAAGAACUCCUUUCGCUUUUCGUAUGUUAGAUCCUCUAAUGCCCGUAUAUCACCCUUAAUUAACUUGCACAGUAGAAACUCCAUGAUCCUUCGUGUUUCCUUGUCAGCAAUCUGUCCGUCACGAAGAAUAUCUGAUGCAACAGGUAUUCCACCAUAAGGGCUCUGCACAAAUGCCAGUCCUGCAACUUUAUCCUUUAAAUCAUGCCAAUAUUUUGACAAAGCAGCGGCAGCAUCAACCCCACCCUUACUGUGACCAAGCAGCAUGACAUGUUUUCCUGAUCCCCAGUGUAACUCCUCGAUGCAUUGCUUCAGUUCCCACGCAUUUUGUUCCACGGAUGCCUCACUGUGUAUCUUGGCAAUAUGGCAAGUUAACCCCAUCUUUGAAAAAAACUUUUUAGUGCUCACAAAAUACAAAGGACCGUGAUUGCUGAAAAACCCUGGAAUCAGUAGAUAAACAAAAGAAUCGGGCAGUGUGUGCUGUCCAUUCCUAAUACCUUGUAGUAGUUCUCUAAAUCUAGCUGAACCAUCAACAACAGGAGCCAUUUCAGGAGCUUGUUGCAACCACCCAAUGUCAUCAGAAGACCCACGCAAAGUUGUACAUACACGGGAUAUAACACUCUGAACUUGAACUAGAGCACAUCUGAUAUGAGAUACGAAACACCUCCAAGAUGCCAACGUAAGUUUCCAAGUGAAUCUCAGACCAUAUACUGGAAGCAUCAACCCUUCAAAAAUGAGUCUGAAACCUCCAUAACUUUGAUUACUUCUUACAAUUUCUAAGAAUGAAUUUACAGGCAAGUUAUCAUUGACAUAGGAGGAUCUUCUCCCGUGAAAUCUAAAGCUUGUUCCUGUGUCAGAUACUCUUGAAGGAAAUGAACAAGCCUCGGGAACAGUUGUAAAGUUUACAAGCAGACCACCAAAAUCAACUAAAUAUUCUGACCACCCAAGUAGAUCUCUGCAGAUAAGAUCCUCAAUAAAUUGAACAAAUUGCUGGGCUAUAUAAGAGCUCAAGCUUGCAAGAUGUAGAAAGGGGUCGUCCAUGUUGCAUCAGAAGAUAAGUUAAUCAAGAUCUUUCUGUUUAUGAAAUACAAUGAUCAAGUAGAGACGAAACAUACGAGUGAGAAUUGAGAAUGAAAGGCCAAGAGUUGAUGAGAAACCCAAAAGCAUCCUAUUAUAAAUAUAGCCAAAAUCUACAUCUAUCCCAGUUCCCAAUAAAGCACAAAUUUACCAAUAUAAAAAAUGAAUAGUACUAUCACGAUCUGCUUGUGAUUUAGAUUGGAAAGAGAAAAUGGAGUUAUAAAUAGUAGUGAUGUAGCCAAGCUAUC
rnacentral:misc_RNA from 1 species